rnacentral:lncRNA from 13 species
AUGAGCAUAAAAUUGGAUUCCAAAGCAUUCGAUAUGAGCAUUUCCAGCAAUAACAGAUGUUUCUUGCUUACUUUAGAUAAGACUUCUAUGAUUCAGACCUCCGGACAAACUGAGAAGCUGUUCGAUGUUGAAAAAUUCAAUCUAAACACCGAAUGCCUGAACCCAAGCAGAAAAAACAAGCCUGCUGGCCCCGCUACCCAUUGCACCUCACGGUGCAUUGAACACCUACUACUUAAGCCAGCGGCCACUGCUGCUGCUGCCAAAACACAAGAAAGAAGAAACCACACAGCAGAAAGCAGCUGGAAAACACCACACGGAGAAGGGAGAGCUUGCAUUGGUGUUUGACUGAAGGACAAGAGAAAUCCAUUGGUAACUUCCCUCUGGCUCUGACCAUUUACUUUAUGCAGAUAAAGUAAAGCAACUUAAAACCAUGAUCUAGGGAACAUAUUCAGAGAGAAAUGAAUUUACGAUGUCUUCACUUUGAAGAGGCUAUGAUUUUAGACUGUUCUAGAAUACAAUGAUUUUUGGUUGCUUCACACUUCUAAGAAAUGUUCCACUACUGAAAAUUUGCAACAUUUAAAAAAUUCCUACACAAAAAUCACAGCCCACCUUGCUAUUCUUUGCUAAAUAAGCAAAAUAUUUUUUCCCAGUUAUGUUGCUCUCCUUAAUUACAUGCAAUUUUAAAACUAGCUGUAACUGACAGUCCUGUCAUCGUAUUUACUGGCAAUGUAUUUCGGUCAAUCCCACCUCCAAUUAGAGAAACUUAGAAAAAGGAAAUCCUACGGUGAAUUGCCAUAUGCCUUAAAUUUUCAGUAACUAAUCCUCAAGGAUGACAACUUGGCAAAAAAGAGAACUGGACCAGCUCCCUGAAAGGUCCAUCUCAGCCCAUGUUAAUUGAUUGGCUUAAAAUCACAGUGCUUCCAGGUUUAGAGACACACUCAAAACAGAUCAUUGCCCUCAUAUUAAAGAGGGUAGGUUUUCUUUUCCCUUUUCCCAUCCCUGCUUCUCUCAAAGCUCCCCAGAGGUAUAUGAGGCUUCUGGGGAAUAUUUGCAGGACAUGUUGGCUGGCAAGAAUAUGGGUGAAUUCCUGUUAAGGUGUGCAGACACCUAUGACCUUUUCUUUCCACCCAGAACAACUGGAGCAGCAUGAAAAGAGGAAGGGCUUUGUGUUUGAGAUAAACAGCUCCUAUACCUGUCAGUUUUCUGUAAUAAGAAAGCUCUUUCCUGUCACUAUAUAGGUCACCUUCUUAUUGGUAAAGCAUGAUGUAGCUUGGAAAUUCUUUUCCUUGUUUUGUUGAAAGAAGCCAAGUUCCAAGAAAGCUCCAGAGGCAUUUCUAA